GUUUACCACGGUUCAAGUUGGGUUUCUGCAGGAUGCUAUGAGAAACAAACCAGAAGCUUCUGUGACCUUUAUUUUACUUGUGUGUACUGAUAAUUUGUCAAAUCUGGGCUGCAAUGAUCCAGACUAUUAA
rnacentral:lncRNA from 1 species